GGCGCAGGGGGCUCGGGGUCGGGUUGUACAGCGGCAGGGGCUCGGGGUUAAACCAAAUAAUAAAUAAUCAGCUCAUUGCCUUGGUUUUUUCUGUUUCUUUCUUCUUCCUCUUCUUGGAUUCUAACUGUUGAUGAUGUUUCCAGUGAGCAACAAUACUUUAUCCAACAAGUGGAGGCAACAUCCAUUGUUUCAGAGCGAUGACCCCCAGUGCCAUAUUUGACAUCCUAUCACCUACAUACUCUUCAGAAAUUGGGCGACAUUGCACUUAUUUCCGAACAUCUCCAAGAAAAUAUUUUCCUGGUAGUCUUGAGUUGGAUGGAGUUACAACUCCUGAAGUGACAUGGUUAGAGGAACAUCAACCUCCUAACAAUUUUGUGAUUCGGAGAGGGCUGUACAAGGGUCCUGUUAUUAGAACUUGAGAAUUUCUUAUUUUGAUGUUCUUUACAUUUUAGUCAAAUUUGCUUUACUUGAUAGGAAACAUUGAGGGGAACUAUGGUAUAUGAGUGGUUGAAAUGACCAUGGCAAUAAUAUUUUUGGCUAUGUAAGUUGGGCAUUUGGUUUUGUACAUAAUAAAACAGUCGUACACUCGUUGAUUUACUUACUGACCUCACAUGAAGCUUGUAGAGUAGUCUCUGAAAGUUCUUUUGUACAAGCAUAUUAUGUUCUUUUUUUAUGGGCUGAUAUUUGAUAUUUUUUAUGUCUUUUGUAGGGCCUAAUUUGAAGUAAUUUGGAUACAAUUGUUAGUUUUGUUCUCUUAGUUUUGAAGGUUGCCUACAAAAUAAUCAGACAACUCUGGAAUGAACUCUUUUUCCUUGGAUACAUAUUUGAAACCAAGUAUGCCUCUCUUUCCCUCCACAUAUUGAAAGAGGUUUAUUAGUCACUCCAUUGGGACUAGGAGGGAGGUAUUUAUGAGAUAACAUAUAGUUUUAUGGUGUCACACAUGUAUUAGUAGUUAAAGAACGAAAAACUUUUGUUGAUAGAUUUUU